UACGUAGGGUGCAAGCGUUGUCCGGAAUUAUUGGGCGUAAAGAGCUCGUAGGCGGUUUGUCACGUCGGAUGUGAAACCCUGAGGCUCAACCUCAGGCCUGCAUUCGAUACGGGCAGACUAGAAUUCGGCAGGGGAGACUGGAAUUCCUGGUGUAGCGGUGAAAUGCGUAGAUAUCGAGAGGAACACCUGCGGCGAAGGCGGGUUGCUGGGCUGACACUGACGCUGAAGUGCGAAAGCUAGGGGAGCGAACGGG
rnacentral:rRNA from 1 species